rnacentral:rRNA from 1 species
UACGUAGGGACCGAGCGUUGUCCGGAAUCAUUGGGCGUAAAGAGCGUGUAGGCGGCCACUUAAGUCCUGCGUGAAUCUUGCGGCUACAACCGCAAGCGGUCGUGGGAAACUGGGUGGCUAGAGUGCGGGAGAGGAGAGUGGAAUCCUGGUGUAGCGGUGGAAUGCGCAGAUAGUCAGGAAGAACACCCGUGGCGAAGGCGGCUCUCUGGAACGGCAACUGACGCUGAGACGCGAAAGCGUGGGGAGCAAACAGGAUUAGAUACCCCGA